rnacentral:rRNA from 1 species
UACGUAGGGUGCAGGCGUUAAUCGGAAUUACUGGACGUAAAGCGUGCGCAGGCGGUUUGCUAAGACAGGUGUGAAAUCCCCGGGCUUAACCUGGGAACUGCGCUUGUAACUGGCAAGCUAGAGUGUGGCAGAGGGGGGUGGAAUUCCACGUGUAGCAGUGAAAUGCGUAGAGAUGUGGAGGAACACCGAUGGCGAAGGCAGCCCCCUGGGCUAACACUGACGCUCAUGCACGAAAGCGUGGGGAGCAAACAGG